rnacentral:rRNA from 1 species
AGAGUUUGAUCCUGGCUCAGGACGAACGCUGGCGGCAUGCCUCACACAUGCAAGUCGAGCGGUAACCAGUAGCAAUACUGGUUAUAGCGGCGGACGGGUGAGUAAUACAUGAAUAACCUACCCUAUACUACGGGAUAACAUUCAGAAAUGAGUGCUAAUACCGUAUGAGACCACAUCAAGGCAUCUUGAAGGGGUUAAAGGGAAUUACUGGUAUAGGAUGGGUUCAUGUCCCAUUAGCUAGUUGAUAGGGUAAAAGCCUACCAAGGCGACGAUGGGUAGCCGACCUGAGAGGGUGAACGGCCACACUGGGACUGAGACACGGCCCAGACUCCUACGGGAGGCAGCAGUCGGGAAUUUUGCACAAUGGCCGAAAGGCUGAUGCAGCAACGCCGCGUGAGCGAAGAAGGCCUUCGGGUUGUAAAGCUCUGUUGCCUGCGAAGAAGGGCCCUGUCAGGAAAUGGGCAGGGUUUGAC